rnacentral:rRNA from 1 species
UACGUAGGGUGCAAGCGUUGCCCGGAUUCAUUGGGCGUAAAGGGCGCGUAGGCGGCUCUGCACGUCCGUUGUGAAAUCGCCCGGCUCAACUGGGCGGGGUCAGCGGAUACGGCAGAGCUUGAGCAAGCUAGGGGGCAAUGGAAUUCCCGGUGUAGUGGUGGAAUGCGUAGAUAUCGGGAGGAACACCAGUGGCGAAGGCGGUUGCCUGGGGCUUUGCUGACGCUGAUGCGCGAAAGCGUGGGGAGCGAUCCGG